UGAGACACGGUCCAAACUCCUACGGGAGGCAGCAGUGAGGAAUAUUGGUCAAUGGACGGAAGUCUGAACCAGCCAAGUAGCGUGCAGGAUGACGGCCCUAUGGGUUGUAAACUGCUUUUGUAUGGGGAUAAAGUUAGGGACGUGUCCCUAUUUGCAGGUACCAUACGAAUAAGGACCGGCUAAUUCCGUGCCAGCAGCCGCGGUAAUACGGAAGGUCCAGGCGUUAUCCGGAUUUAUUGGGUUUAAAGGGAGCGUAGGCUGGAGAUUAAGUGUGUUGUGAAAUGUAGACGCUCAACGUCUGAAUUGCAGCGCAUACUGGUUUCCUUGAGUACGCACAACGUUGGCGGAAUUCGUCGUGUAGCGGUGAAAUGCUUAGAUAUGACGAAGAACUCCGAUUGCGAAGGCAGCUGACGGGAGCGCAACUGACGCUUAAGCUCGAAGGUGCGGGUAUCGAACAGGAUUAGAUACCCUGGUAGUCCGCACAGUAAACGAUGGAUGCCCGCUGUUGGUACCUGGUAUCAGCGGCUAAGCGAAAGCAUUAAGCAUCCCACCUGGGGAGUACGCCGGCAACGGUGAAACUCAAAGGAAUUGACGGGGGCCCGCACAAGCGGAGGAACAUGUGGUUUAAUUCGAUGAUACGCGAGGAACCUUACCCGGGCUUGAAUUGCAGAGGAAGGAUUUAGAGAUAAUGACGCCCUUCGGGGCCUCUGUGAAGGUGCUGCAUGGUUGUCGUCAGCUCGUGCCGUGAGGUGUCGGCUUAAGUGCCAUAACGAGCGCAACCCCUCUCUUCAGUUGCCAUCAGGUGAUGCUGGGCACUCUGGAGACACUGCCACCGUAAGGUGUGAGGAAGGUGGGGAUGACGUCAAAUCAGCACGGCCCUUACGUCCGGGGCUACACACGUGUUACAAUGGCCGGUACAGAGGGACGGUGUAAUGCAAAUUGCAUCAAAUCUUGAAAGCCGGUCCCAGUUCGGACUGGGGUCUGCAACCCGACCCCACGAAGCUGGAUUCGCUAGUAAUCGCGCAUCAGCCAUGGCGCGGUGAAUACGUUCCCGGGCCUUGUACACACCGCCCGUCAAGCCAUGGGAGUCUGGAGUACCUAAAGUCCGUAACCGCAAGGGUCGGCCUAGGGUAAUACAGGUGACUGGGGCUAAGUCGUAACAAGGUAGCCGUACCGGAAGGUGCGGCUG
rnacentral:rRNA from 1 species